UCCCUGGUGGUUCAGUGGGUAAGACUCUACACUCCUAAUGCAGGGAGCCCAGGUUCAAUCCCUAGUCAGGGAA
rfam:TPA: Bos taurus chromosome X, whole genome shotgun sequence.